UGGGGAAUAUUGGACAAUGGGGGCAACCCUGAUCCAGCAAUUCCGCGUGGGUGAAGAAGGCCUUCGGGUUGUAAAGCCCUUUAGGCAGGGAAGAAAAGCCGUACGUAAAUAAUGUACGGUCUUGACGGUACCUGCGGAAUAAGCACCGGCUAACUCUGUGCCAGCAGCCGCGGUAAUACAGAGGGUGCAAGCGUUAAUCGGAUUUACUGGGCGUAAAGCGUGCGUAGGCGGCCAGACCAGUCGGAUGUGAAAUCCCCGAGCUUAACUUGGGAACUGCAUCCGAAACUAUCUGGCUAGAGUGUGGUAGAGGGCGGUGGAAUUCCCGGUGUAGCGGUGAAAUGCGUAGAUAUCGGGAGGAACAUCAAUGGCGAAGGCAGCUGCCUGGGCCAACACUGACGCUGAGGUACGAAAGCGUGGGGAGCAAACAGG
rnacentral:rRNA from 1 species